rnacentral:rRNA from 1 species
UACAGAGGGUGCAAGCGUUAAUCGGAAUUACUGGGCGUAAAGCGUGCGUAGACGGUUACAUAAGUCGGGUGUGAAAGCCCCGGGCUCAACCUGGGAAUUGCAUUCGAGACUGCGUAGCUAGGGUGCGGAAGAGGGAAGCGGAAUUUCCGGUGUAGCGGUGAAAUGCGUAGAUAUCGGAAGGAACACCAGUGGCGAAAGCGGCUUCCUGGUCCAGCACCGACGUUCAGGCACGAAAGCGUGGGGGAGCAAACAGGGA